rnacentral:Y_RNA from 1 species
GGCUGGUCCGAGUGCAGUGAUGUUUACAAUUAAUUGAUCACAUUCAGUUACAGAUUUAUUUGUCCCUUCUCCAUCCCCACUGCUUCACUUGACUUGCCUUCA